rnacentral:rRNA from 1 species
ACCACAACGGGUGGAGCUUGCGGUUUAAUUGGAUUCAACGCCGGAAAUCUUACCGGGACCGACAGCAAUAUGAAGGCCAGGCUGAAGACUUUGCCGGAUUAGCUGAGAGGUGGUGCAUGGCCGUCGUCAGUUCGUACUGUGAAGCAUCCUGUUAAGUCAGGCAACGAGCGAGACCCACGCCCACAGUUGCCAGCUCGUCCUCCGGGAUGGUGGGGACACUGUUGGGACCGGCCUCUGCUAAAGAGAGGAAGGAAAUGGGCAACGGUAGGUCAGCAUGCCCCGAAUUAUCUGGGCUACACGCGGGCUACAAUGGGUGGGACAAUGGGUAUCGACACCGAAAGGUGAAGGCAAUCUCCUAAACCCAUCCGUAGUUCGGAUUGUGGGCUGCAACUCGCCCACAUGAAGCUGGAAUCUGUAGUAAUCGUGUCUCAAAAUGGCACGGUGAAUAUGUCCCUGCUCCUU